AACGUAGGAGGCAAGCGUUAUCCGGAUUUACUGGGCGUAAAGCGUGUGCAGGCGGUUUGAUAAGUUGUGCGUGAAAGCUUCAGGCUAAACCUGAAGAGGCCGUGCAAGACUGUGAAACUAGAAUCCAUCAGAGGCAAGCAGAAUUCCAGGUGUAGUGGUGAAAUGCGUAGAGAUCCGGAGGAACACCAGCGGCGAAGGCGGCGUCCUGGACUGGUACUGACGCUCAGGAGCGAAAGCGUGGGGAGCGAUCCGG
rnacentral:rRNA from 1 species